UCUCCUCCAUGAACUAUCUUAACUUUAUAAUAAGGAUAAGGAGAUAGAAGUCAUUAAAGAGUUUCGUUGUCACCAGCCCGCGGAUGUCCAUUCUGAUUCGGCGGAGAGCGAGACGAUGGGCUUUUUAACAAGUUUUAAUAACUCAGGCUUUUUAGCGAGAAUAUUCACUCUGAUGCCCGGACACCUCCUGUCUUCAGAGUUACAGGCUUCUCAGAGAUCAAGGCGCCUUUCACAGACUUGACUGUUUCCUGGUGAGAUGAAAGAGGGCCCACCAGGGGCCGGCUGUGCCAGCCUCAUGUCCGAGACAAGACGCGCCUUUCAUCACGGGAGACAGGACACCAGCCGGGAUGGGAAUCGGCUAGAAAGUUUGGACGAUGCUUGGCAGACCCCUCUGGCCGUUUAGAGAGACAACAUGAAGUCCCUGUCCUCCUGAGCUGGUCUACUGCUGGGAAGCAGGUGUGGGGGCAGCAGGCCCCCCACCUGGACUCAGCCUGGUCUUGAUACAAACAGCCACAGACUUCACUGCGACACGUACCUUCUCCUUACCCAGAUCCCUAACAGAUUUAAUUUAAUGCUAGUUCGCCCCUGACAACCAGUCCUGCAGCCGGAAAAGAAAUACUAUUUCUGCGUGA